rnacentral:rRNA from 1 species
GAUGAACGCUGGCGGCGUGCCUAAUACAUGCAAGUCGAGCGAACAGACGAGGAGCUUGCUCCUCUGACGUUAGCGGCGGACGGGUGAGUAACACGUGGAUAACCUACCUAUAAGACUGGGAUAACUUCGGGAAACCGGAGCUAAUACCGGAUAAUAUAUUGAACCGCAUGGUUCAAUAGUGAAAGACGGUUUUGCUGUCACUUAUAGAUGGAUCCGCGCCGCAUUAGCUAGUUGGUAAGGUAACGGCUUACCAAGGCAACGAUGCGUAGCCGACCUGAGAGGGUGAUCGCCCACACUGGAACUGAGACACGGUCCAGGCUCCUACGGGAGGCAGCAGUAGGGAAUCUUCCGCAAUGGGCGAAAGCCUGACGGAGCAGCGCCGCGUGAGUGAUGAAGGUCUUCGGAUCGUAAAACUCUGUUAUUAGGGAAGAACAAAUGUGUAAGUAACUAUGCACGUCUUGACGGUACCUAAUCAGAAAGCCACGGCUAACUACGUG